rnacentral:lncRNA from 1 species
CAGAAAUGUUGUGUAGUUUAAACUGCUCUUGAUUAACAGUGGGACAAACAGUGGUGCAUCCCUCUCUCUUACUUUGUUAUGCAGUCACCUGGCAGCAGAAUGGCCAUGCUGUGCAAAAAGCAGGAUCUACCUUGCCAAAAGAGAUGGCGAUUCAUUAUUCUCCAUCAGGAAAGCUCUCUCAUACUAUACACAUCCUUGCUCCCUUGUGAAUGAUGCAGCAACCCUUCAGUCCCCUUCAACUUUCUCUACACCUCUGACGCAGGCAUCUCAAUCCACUAGGAGUCUUUUGCCUGCCAGAUUUUUGGCCAUACUAUGUCUCUUGCUUGGAUUUGGUGGCACAAAAGGGACUUCAAACUGCUGUAACGGAGGACUGGGAACUUCUCUAGCAGCAAUAAGGUGCUCAUUAACUGAAAUUGAUUCCGUUUUGACUUCUGGUGGUGUGCUGACCUUUGGAAGGCCUCUGCAGUGUUUGAAGCUAAAUUUGGCUUGGCUUGAUCUUCAUGACUGCAGUAGUUGA